CUACGGGUCGCUCCAGUGGGGAAUAUUGCACAAUGGGGGAAACCCUGAUGCAGCGACGCCGCGUGCGGGAAGAAGGCCUUCGGGUUGUAAACCGCUUUCAAUUGGGAAGAAGGGAUGAGAGUUAAUACCUCUCUGACUUGACGGUACCUUUAGAAGAAGCACCGGCUAAUUUCGUGCCAGCAGCCGCGGUAAUACGAAAGGUGCAAGCGUUGUUCGGAUUUACUGGGCGUAAAGAGAUCGUAGGUGGCUUGUUAAGUCGGAUGUGAAAUCCCGGGGCUCAACCUCGGAACUGCAUUCGAUACGGGCAGGCUAGAGUUCAGGAGGGGUAAGCGGAAUUCCGUGUGUAGCAGUGAAAUGCGUAGAUAUACGGAGGAACACCUGAGGCGAAGGCGGCUUACUGGACUGAUACUGACACUGAGGAUCGAAAGCGUGGGUAGCAAACAGGAUUAGAUACCCCGGUAGUC
rnacentral:rRNA from 1 species